rnacentral:ncRNA from 1 species
UUGUCUAUAACGUUGUACUAAUCCUUUUCCAAAAGAGCGUUCUCCUAAAAUUACAGCUCUAUCAUAAUCUUGCAAUGCUCCAGCAACUACUUCUGAAGCUGAUGCUGAUGUUCCAUUUAACAAAACUGUAACUGGCAUUUCUAAAUCUAAAGGCUUAUUUGAAGCCCUAUAUGUAUUACUCCAUUUUUUUACUUUAGCUCUAGUUGAUACAAUUGUACUUCCUUUAGGAAGGAAAAAAUUUGAAAUAUUAAUCGCUUCCCCUAAAGAACCUCCUGGAUUACUUCUUA